rnacentral:lncRNA from 1 species
UUCAUUUCCUGCAGGGUGGAGAAAGAAAUGGAAAAUUGGUAUGGCUGAUAUUACGAAUGCAUUCUGAGUUUUCAUUAAGGCAUUAUCUUUAAUUACUUGGGAAAUUCAAAAGGUACUGUUAACAAUUACUUGUACAUUAUUACCAGGGUAAGAAUAUUUGCAAAAUAUUAUUUCUUUCAGAAACUUAUACUGCCUUAUCUACUGCAUACUGCAAAGACGUGGCCAGCAACAUUUCUGCCAAUGCAAGACUUUGGGAAAAAUGUCUAUCAGAGAAGCAUCCAGACUCAUGACGACCCCAUUCUGCUAGCUAGAGUGAAAACAUGUAGGAAACCCUGAUUCUUCUCCAGAGACUUUUCUUCCUCCAUUUACUUCAUGGGCAAUUGAACAAAAUACUGAAGGAAGCAAUUAUUUCAGCUAUUGUGCAAAGAUGAAUGGCAGCAGUAUUACCAUCACCUUCUUGAGAUAUAUUUUAAAAGUACAGAGAAGUAAAUUAAUAGAAAAUAAAAUAAC